GAGUUGAUCUGGCUCAGAAUCAACGCUGGCGGCGUGCCUCAGACAUGCAAGUCGAACGCGAAAGUCCCCUUCGGGGGAUGAGUAGAGUGGCGCACGGGUGAGUAACACGUAGGUAAUCUACCUUCGGGUGGGGAAUAACCCAGGGAAACUUGGGCUAACACCGCAUAAUGCAGCGGCACCACAUGGUGACAGUUGUUAAAGCGGGGGAUUUUAGGACCUCGCGCCUGAAGAGGAGCCUGCGGCAGAUUAGCUAGUUGGUAAGGUAACGGCUUACCAAGGCGACGAUCUGUAACCGGCCUGAGAGGGCGGUCGGUCACACUGACACUGACAUACGGGUCAGACUCCUACGGGAGGCAGCAGUCGGGAAUUUUGGGCAAUGGGCGAAAGCCUGACCCAGCAACGCCGCGUGAAGGAUGAAAUCCCUCGGGAUGUAAACUUCGCAAGAUUGGGAAGAAUUAGUAGGGGUUAAUACCCCCUAUGAUGACGGUACCUUUUGUAAGCUCCGGCUAACUCCGUGCCAGCAGCCGCGGUAAUACGGGGGGAGCAAGCGUUGUUCGGAUUUACUGGGCGUAAAGGGCGCGUAGGCGGUCAGCACAAGUCAGUUGUGAAAUCUCCGGGCUUAACUCGGAAAGGUCAACUGAUACUGUGCGACUAGAGUGCAGAAGGGGCAACUGGAAUUCUCGGUGUAGCGGUGAAAUGCGUAGAUAUCGAGAGGAACACCUGCGGCG
rnacentral:rRNA from 1 species